CCGCCCCCGGCCCUGCGCCGCCGCCGCCGCCGCUCCUAGGGUUCCGUCUGCUCAUCAGACAACAGAUAUUUAUUGAAUGUUCUUUGUCAUGCGUCUUCAAGAUGUGCCCUGGCCAUUCAUGCAAGUUUCAAGGACUCUGAAUCUGUUGAGAAAAAGAGGUUACGUUCCAAUUCUGCUUUAGUUCCAACCCAAAUGCUGAGAAACACUCCAUGGAAUUUAAUUACAGGGCGAUAACUG
rnacentral:lncRNA from 1 species